GACGAACGCUGGCGGCGUGCCUAACACAUGCAAGUCGUGCGAGAAACCCUCCUUCGGGAGGGGAGUACAGCGGCGCACGGGUGAGUAACGCGUAAGUUAUCUGCCCUUUGGUCUGGCAUAACUCCGGGAAACCGGGGCCAAUUCCAGAUGAUAUCGCAAGAUCAAAGCCUUCGGGCGCCAAAGGAUGAGCUUGCGUCCCA
rnacentral:rRNA from 1 species